GCUGUGAUGUCUGAGUGGUUGAAGUGUUAGACUGGAAAUCCAAUAGGGUUUCCCUGUGCAGGUUCAUCUCCUGCUCACAGCG
rnacentral:tRNA from 1 species